rnacentral:rRNA from 1 species
UACGGAGGGUGCAAGCGUUAAUCGGAAUUACUGGGCGUAAAGCGCACGCAGGUGGCUGAGUCAGUCGAUUGUGAAAGCCCUGGGCUUAACCUGGGAAUUGCAGUCGAUACUACUCAGCUAGAGUAUGGGAGAGGGUAGUGGAAUUCCCGGUGUAGUGGUGAAAUGCGUAGAUAUCGGGAGGAACACCAGUGGCGAAGGCGACUACCUGGCCUGUUCUUGACGCUGAGGCGCGAAAGCUAGGGGAGCAAACGGG